rnacentral:rRNA from 1 species
ACCUUCGGGUUGAGGGUUUCAGUGGAGCGCGUGACCCGAUCUAGUAGUAGUCAAGCGAUGGAGAGACGCAGGAAGGUAGCCUCCGCGUGGCGAUGGUAGUCCACGUCCAAGGGUGUAGGGCGAGCUGUAGGCAAAUCCGCAGCUCACAUAGCCUGAGACCUGAUAGUGACCGCGUAUGCGGGAAGCAGGGUGAUCCUAUGCUGCCAAGAAAAUCUUCUAGCGAGGUUCGAGCCGCCCGUACCCCAAACCGACUCAGGUGGUUAGGUAGAGAAUACCAAGGCGAUCGAGUGAAUCGUGGUUAAGGAAUUCGGCAAAAUACCCCCGUAACUUCGGGAGAAGGGGGGCCCAGAGGGUGAAGGCACUUGCUGCCUAGCCUGAACGGCCGCAGAGACCAGGGAGAAGCGACUGUUUACUAAAAACACAGGUCCGUGCGAAGUCGCAAGACGAUGUAUACGGACUGACGCCUGCCCGGUGCUGGAAGGUUAAGAGGACCGGUUAGUUCUUCGGAGCGAAGCUGAGAAUUUAAGCCCCAGUAAACGGCGGUGGUAACUAUAACCAUCCUAAGGUAGCGAAAUUCCUUGUCGGGUAAGUUCCGACCUGCACGAAUGGCGUAACGACUUCUCCACUGUCUCAACCACGAACUCGGCGAAAUUGCACUACGAGUAAAGAUGCUCGUUACGCGCAGCAGGACGGAAAGACCCCGGGACCUUUACUACAGCUUGGUAUUGGUGUUCGGUACGGCUUGUGUAGGAUAGGUGGGAGACUGUGAAGCAUGCACGCCAGUGUGUGUGGAGUCAACGUUGAAAUACCACUCUGGUCGUUCUGGAUAUCUAACCUCGGUCCGUGAUCCGGAUCAGGGACAGUGCCUGGU